rnacentral:rRNA from 1 species
AGUGAACGCUGGCGGUAGGCCUAACACAUGCAAGUCGAACGGCAGCACAGUAAGAGCUUGCUCUUACGGGUGGCGAGUGGCGGACGGGUGAGGAAUACAUCGGAAUCUACUUUUUCGUGGGGGAUAACGUAGGGAAACUUACGCUAAUACCGCAUACGACCUACGGGUGAAAGCAGUGGAUCUUCGGACCUUUCGCGAUUGAAUGAGCCGAUGUCGGAUUAGCUAGUUGGCGGGGUAAAGGCCCACCAAGGCGACGAUCCGUAGCUGGUCUGAGAGGAUAAUCAGUCACACUGGAAGUGACAGACGGUCCAGAAUGCUACGAGAGGGAGUAGGCGGGAAUAUUGGACAUUGGGCGCAAGCCUGAUCCAGACAUACCGCGUGGGUAAAGAAAGCCUUCGGGUUGUAAAGACCUUUUGUUGGGAAAGAAAAGCAGCAGGUUAAUACCCCGCUGUUCUGACGGUACCCAAAGAAUAAGCAACGGCUAACUUCGUG